ensembl:rRNA 5S_rRNA 5S ribosomal RNA
GUUUAUAGCCAUACCACCCUGAACACACCCAAUCUCGUCUGAUCUCGGAAGCUAAGCAGUGUAGAGCCUAGUACUUGAAUGGGGGCACUGCCUGGGAAUACUUAGUGCUAUAGGCU